rnacentral:rRNA from 1 species
UACAGAGGUCUCAAGCGUUGUUCGGAUUCAUUGGGCGUAAAGGGUGCGUAGGCGGCGCGGUAAGUCGGAUGUGAAAUCUCGGAGCUUAACUUCGAAACUGCAUUCGAUACUGCCGUGCUUGAGGACUGGAGAGGAGACUGGAAUUUACGGUGUAGCGGUGAAAUGCGUAGAUAUCGUAAGGAAGACCAGUGGCGAAGGCGGGUCUCUGGACAGUACCUGACGCUGAGGCACGAAGGUCAGGGGAGCAAACGGG